AGAGUUUUUAUGGCAAUAUGCACUUGGAUUUCAAGGAGUUAUUUGAAUGUAAUUUUCACCAAAGACUUCAUUGAGACAUUAGCUGUGUUCAAACAGUUUUCACCUUUAAAAGAUAAAGGAAAAACUUCUGUUUCUUCCUCAAUUACAAGAGUAUUGGAAAACUGUGGCGUCAAGAAUUUUUGUGGCAAUAUGCACUUGGAUUUCAAGGAGUUAUUUGAAUGGUAUUUGUAAACAGGGCGCUGCAAGUACUACCUUCACUGGGACAUUGGCUGUGUUCAAACUUCACUUUUAAAAGAUGUUUUCCUGAGUUCUCAACAUUAAAAAGAACAUUCUGUGGCAAUAUGCAGUUGAUUUUCAAUCAAAACUUAUUGGAAUGGAAUGUAUCAAGAGGUCAAUAAAGGUUGGUAAUGGUUUCGUAAAACUGCAGCUGUUAUUGGUACUGGUACUUCAUUUAACCUCCUGUAUAUUCCUCGUUGAAGAUAUGGAGCAGAACGAAGACUUAGGAUAGGAACACUUCAUUUUUAUUAAUCUCAUAAAGACUUGUGGAAAAUCAGAAAAUUUAAAGAAUUUUCUGAUUUUUUAUUCUAUUUUUUUGCUGUAAAAGUAAAAUUGUG